rnacentral:rRNA from 1 species
GAUAAAAAAUUAUAAUAAUUGUAACAGAAAAGAAUAAAAUUAAAAAAGGUGAAACAAAAAAAAAAUUAUUAAUAAAAAGUACUGAAAAGGAAAAGUAAAUCUUAAAAAUAAAAGUUUUUAUACCUUUAGUAUUAGGGUUGAUUAAUUGUUAAAUUAAAUAAAUUUUUAUCUCGAAAGUAAUUGAUCUAAUUUUUAUAAAAUAUAAAUAUGGAAGUAUUUGGAAAAAAUAAAAAUUUGGUUUGAAAUUAGUUUCAUAAUUAUAUAUCUAGUUAAAAAAAUAAUAUUUUAUGUAAGAAUUAUAAUUAUUUUUUUUAAAAAAAUAAUAAUUUGAAAAUUAAGGGAUAAGCUUUAAUUUUUUAUAUAGAUAAAAAGAAACUUAUUCAAAAGGUUUAAAAUUAAUUUAUUUUUGUAGUAAAAAAUUAUCAUAAAGCAGUGAAGUUAUAAAUAAAUAUAAAAAAUAUAAAAAAAUAUUUUUAAAAUAAUGAUUAAAUUAGUAUAAGUUAACAUUUAAAAUUAUGAAUUCGACAAAAUUAUUUCCAACUGUUUAUCAAAAACAUUGUUUUUCAAUAAUAAAAAAUAUGUUCUGCUCAAUGCAAAAAUGUAAAUUGCUGUAGUAAAUUAACUAUACAAAGGUAUUGAAAUAAGACUUUAAUUGAGUGCUAAGAGAAUGGAAUAAUGGUAAUAAAUUUUAUUAUUUUAAAUAAUAAAAUUUAUUAUAAAUAUAAAAAAAUAUUUAUAAAAAAAUUAGACAAGAAGACCCUAUAAAUCUUAAUUAUUAAAAAUAAUUUUAUUGGGGCAAUAAAGAAAUAUUAAAAAAUUUUAUUUUGAAAGUUAAAUAAGAAUAAAAGAAAAGAUACUUUAGGGAUAACAGCGUUAUUAUUUUGGAGAGUUCGUAUCGAUAAAAUAGUUUGCGACCUCGAUGUUGAAUUGAUGGACCUAAUUUAUGAAGAUGUAAAUUAAGGUAGAUUGCUCAUCUAUUAAAUCAUUACAUGAUUUGAGUUCAGACCGACGUGAGUCAGGUUAGUUUCUAUCUAUUUACAAAAUUAUAAUAAUUUAGUACGAAAGGAAUAAUUAAUAGUUUUUAAAAGUUAAA